UCCCGUCAAUUCAUUUGAGUUUUAAUCUUGCGACCGUACUCCCCAGGCGGUCAACUUCACGCGUUAGCUUCGUUACUAAGGAAAUGAAUCCCCAACAACUAGUUGACAUCGUUUACAGCGUGGACUACCAGGGUAUCUAAUCCUGUUUGCUACCCACGCUCUCGCGCCUCAGUGUCAGUGUCAAUCCAGGUAGCCGCCUUCGCCACUGGUGUUCCUUCCGAUAUCUACGCAUUUCACCGCUACACCGGAAAUUCCACUACCCUCUAUUGCACUCAGGCUAUGCAGUUUAAAUGGCAAUUCCCAGGUUAAGCCCGGGGAUUUCACCAUUCACUCACUUAACCACCUACGCGCCCUUUACGCCCAGUAAUUCCGAUUAACGCUUGCACCCUCUGUAUUACCGCGGCUGCUGGCACA
rnacentral:rRNA from 1 species